rnacentral:misc_RNA from 1 species
AAGGAGUCUAACAUGUUUGCGAGUGUUUGGGUGUAAAACCCGAGCGCGUAAUUAAAGUGAAUGCAGGUGGGAUGCGCAAGCUGCACCAUCGACCGAUCUGGAUCUUUUGUGAUGGAUUUGAGUAAGAGCACAUAUGUUGGGACCCGAAAGAUGGUGAACUAUGCCUGAAUAGGGCGAAGCCAGAGGAAACUCUGGUGGAGGCUCGUAGCGAUUCUGACGUGCAAAUCGAUCGUCAAAUUUGGGUAUAGGGGCGAAAGACUAAUCGAACCAUCUAGUAGCUGGUUCCUGC